rnacentral:pre_miRNA from 1 species
AAAGUACUCCCUCCGUCCCAAAAUUCUUGUCUUGGAUCAAGUCACAUUUUAGUAUUAGAUACAUCCGUAUCUAGACAAAUCUAAGACAAGAAAUAUGGGACAGAGGGAGUAGUUA